UUUUCUCUUCAGGCUUACCACCUACAUGUGACCUUUCAUUUCUGUCAUUCCUUUUCCCACCCUAAUGUGCUGCUGCUUCUUUCUCUACAAUACUUAGAAAAUUAAUCUCUCUCACCACUCCUGAUACCUGGAAAUAUUAUAUAUUGGGCAUAAUUUCUUUUCUAGACUACCACAAUCUCCCUUCCACAUAAUUUGAUACAGCUGCAGGCAUUUUCUGCCACUGCCUCCCACUGCCUCAGUGUCAUUCUUGUUUCUUGUUCAUUGCUCUGUUCCUUAGUGCCAGAAUGUCUCAUAGGGGUAAUCAGAUAUAUCCUUCUCUGUUUUGAUGUCCAUGGUCUGCUCAAGGAUUUUGUGUCCUUCCUCAAUUCAGUUCCGUAAAGAACUUUCUACUGUGCUGUGUUGGCCUUCCUGGCUAGCAAAACAAAUAAGCAAUUAAGAUUGUUUCAGUUUGGAGGAGAUAUGAGUGCUAAAAUCAGGUGAAAAGACUUACAACAGAGACAGUGCAGAAGACCUUCUGGACCUCAGGUCUGAUACCAUCUUGAGAAAGCAACACAGAACUUCACGGAGGUUGUUCAUGAAGACCAAGCUGCUCAGUGAGAUAGACGAAUGGUUUGAUCCAGAGGUUCUGCAGCCCACAAGCCACUUGAAAACAGUGUUUUGUUUGCAUAAAGUCCAAUUCAUUCAUCCACUUUUGGCAGAAUUAAUCACUUAUGUAUAUUGUAGAAGAUACAGAUCUUUUCCAGUUUUACUGGUCCCAGUAUGAAUAACUGGGCACAAAGGGCUGGAUGUUGUCAGCCAAUUAGAAGAUGGAGCAGUCUGUCUUGUCAAGUUUUUACUAAGCUCUUUGGCUUUAGUCCAGAAAAUCUUGCAUACCAGACUUGCAUACCAGACUCACUCCAACAGUAGAUCUGCUCCAAGAGUAUAAUAUCUAGAUCAAGAAUUCUGUGAUUUAUCCAUUAAUUUUUCAGGUCAAGAAAUCCUACCAGUUGAAACUGGACUAUUAGAAGCCUGUUAGUCUGUCCUGGAAGGUAGGAUAUUUCUUUCAGUGGCAACCAUGGAAUAGAAGAGGAUUACCCUUGUGCCAUCCAGAUUUACAUCAAAAGAUAGAUUUGGAGGUCUGAACAUAUAAAAAGAGAUGUUGAUGGGGCAAGCAUUCUGCUACAUCUACAGAGCUAAAAAUCCUGUGACUAAAGUAUUCAGUACAAGAAUGAGAAAAGGAGAGGCAAUGAGAAACACCACAUAGGCUGAAUUGCAACAAGCAGCCAGGUCAGACCAAACUUUGUGAAAUCUGAGGACUGAGUACUGCUCACACAGCCAGGAGGAUGUAAAGAGCAAACCAACAUGAAUGAAACAAGGUUGAUUUAUGCAAAGAUUCACCAUUAUCAGUCUCCUGAAUUGUGAGUGCUGCCAAAAAUUAUCAGUUCUCUUCUGGAGUCCAUACACUUGUGAAGAGAUAUACCCUAUCAUUACUGUGGGUGUGUUCAGGCUGAGAAAACAGCUGAAAAGUGGUGCUUUGAUUCCAUUGUUCAAAAUGAAGCAACUUUGGAAUCAAAACCACCUCAAAAUUUUAACAGUGAAAGUCAGGUGUUCCCUUCCCAUUCAAAUGUGAAUUCAGCAAAAAUGUUGAUCUUUUUCUUAUAUGCAAUUUUGUAUUAUGGCAAGUAUUUCUAGCUAUGUCUGUUGAACAAACAGUGUAGAUUUCAACAUACAAUAUCUACAUUGCCAUAGACACUACUCUUUUUACCCCAACAUCCUACCUACCACUGUUCAAGGAUGAAAGAUUAAGGAUUUAAUUAAAUCAAAAACUUUAAUUGGAAGUAACAUUUAGGAGAAAAGCCCACUCUGAAGUACAUUCACUGUUAAACAGAAAAACAAGAAUAUCUAAAUUAGUGCUUUGACAUCAGCUAACUUUUGCUUAAGCCUAUGAUUUUGGAUAAAUCACGUUAUCAAUAAGAAUCUAUGUUAACUUGUUCUUUGUGAAAGCGAAGAACUGAACUGUGAGGAGGACAUUUAUUUAAGAUCUUUUCUCAUUGAUCAAGGGAACAGUGAAGAUAUUUUUGAUCAUAGUUAUCUAUGUCAUGACCUUUAGCAAGGCAUUUACACUAUCUUCAGGACUUCUAGCUAUUCAUCCUUGAAUAUAUCUCCAGUAGUUCCACAUUAUCAUGCAUGUCACAGUAGCUACAACCUUUGAAAUUAUCAUUUUUGAAAAUGAUAUCAUUUUUGAAAUUAUUAAUUCAAAACAGGAAAAACUUGCAAUUUUGUGUCUUCUUCUGCUGUAACAUUAGAAAGGUGGCAAAUAUUGAGGGGCCUUCCUGUCCCUUUCCCCACACCCUCCCAUUCCCCGUCCCAUACCAUUAUUCUUAUGGAUUCUUUGUGGAUCUAAAGUCCACAAUGUCUUUAAAGUAAAGUUUCCUUUUGACAGACAGAGCAUGUUGCCUGCUGGAAAUUCGCCUUUCUCACGGAGGAAAACUUUCCUCUGCAGGCUGCACAAAUACAAGCUGCUUGUGAAGAGCUAGAGUCCUAUUCUCCAAUGGUGUAAACCCUUUGACUUCAAUGACAGCAAAUAAUUUGACUACAGGAUCAUUUUGUGUACUGUAGCCAUUAAAAUCUCUAUUGUAGUUUUUAUCAUAUAAAGAAAUCUGUUGAAGGCACCUCAGUUAUUUGGCAAAGUGCUGAGCACGCUGGAUCUGAUAUUUCUAGGGCUUAGUAUGUGGGCUGGUUACUAUGCAACUGGAAUUUCUGUUUGUUUUGGAAAUACGAGAUUUCUUUUUUGAGAGCAUAGAUCAGAUGAAAUUGCCAAAUGCAAUACUGAAAAUCUGAGGCAAAAAAUUAUCCCUGCACAUAAUUUCCUUUUAAGUGCUUGAAAUCACUGUUCUCUGUGUCUGUAACUGCUAAAGGAUGUGCAUGUCUUUUAAAAAAAAAAAAAAAAAAAAAAA